rnacentral:lncRNA from 1 species
CACGUAUUCUUGGCACAAUCCGAUACGAAAACAGCAAUCUGGGUCCACCGUCAACCGCGACAGCACCCGACAGUCCGAAACAGUCUACACACUACUGUAAAAUAAGCUCGACAUCCUAGCACGAGUAUAAACUCAUCCUACACUAAUCUGGGUAUCCACCGCAUACAAAUAGCGGUGAUACAGACGAAUCACAGCUCCUAAAGCUAAUUCUGGUAAUUUUCAGAAAAUGACAGUGUAGGAUUUAUAUGUUUU